AUCAACAUCAGGCGCGCCUUCCUUUUGCCUUCCUUAGUAUUCCUAUUUAAAUAAGAACUAGCUUUUUAUUAAAACCAUCUUCCGGAAGUUGACACCAAAAUGUCAUGACAUGAACUUUCAAUCGCGGCGGCAAUCUGAGGACCGGUUCGACAAGUUGUGAAGCGACUCGCAAAUUACCUCACAAUCCUCUUAGAGUAAUUUAAUUGCUAGACGAGAAGGAGUAAUAUUAAAAUCUCUACAAAAUAUUAUUUUUAAAAUAAUUUAAGUUUGAAAUGCCAGGAUGUUGCAGACAAAUAAAAUCUUUGAACUUUAGAUGACUAACCAACAAAUAAUGCAACCUUUGAUACUGCGAAAGAUUUUAGAACGAGACGCAGCAAGGUUGUGUGCUUUUCCUGCUGAAGGUCAUAGACCAGUUCCGCAACAUUUCUCUGUGGAUAUCGAACAAAGGUUGUAGCUGUAUACUCGCUCCCUUCACUCGUGGCGCCUUAUGCAGCACUAGUUGACAGGAAGCUGGUCCAAGGCGAGCGCGAUAAUUUCUGAAGACUGGUGUAUCCUUAUUUACGAGCACAAUCUCUUGUUCUUAUAUUUGUUGGGCUUUUAGAUUAUUCUUUAUUAGGUAAUACUCUAUUAAAUAAAUUAAGCAGUAGGAAAUUAAAAAAGAAGUCCUUUACCAUGCUCGGGAAAGAUAUUAACCAAAUGCUCCUAACUUACACAUGCGAAUCUCAGAAAAACUUACUAAAUGAUGAUGUUACUUUAUAUAAAUUUUUCAUUAAAUUAAGAUUACGUGUGACAUUUUAUUGAUAUAGCUAUUACAUAUAUUUACUUCGUAAAUAUCUUCGAAUUACAAUGGAUCGUGGAUAUUUAGAAAAGUUUCAUUCUAAUGGCUAGUUUUGCCAAGAGGUUUUUGAAAUUGAUUUUUUCCGUUUGCAUUUUAUCUUCCGUGAAAAAUCUUUAUAUAGUUAGUAGCCUCACAAGUAUUAUUUAUCUCACGUGAACACAUUCAACAAGACUUUGUAAAGGAAAUGAUGUAAUGAACUUAAAGAGAAAGAUGAGUAACCACAAAAUUAUGUAUACCGUUAGUUCGCUUGGAAAUAACAUUACAUUUAUCCGUAGGGUAAUACUUUACAACAGCUGUACAAAAUUGUACAAAAACAUAGUCAUCUCUUUUAAUGUCUUUGAAAACUACUGAGAUGACAAUUUUUUUUUUGUGUAGGUGAAUUGCAAGCUGAUAAAU